ACGCCCCCCACCAGCCUGGGCGCCCAGCUGCGAACCCCGGGUCUGCAAACUUGAGGAUCUCCCCUCGUCGCGCCCGCCAGACAACUUAGCGAGCACCUCACGCGCCCGUACCCCCCUUCCUCCAGCCCUUCCUCCAAAUCCCAAGCCCACCGUCGCGUUCCAGAGAAGGUGCCCACGUCGCCCCGAGAUCCAGGAGCGCCCCCUCUCCACCCCCGGGGCUUCCCAGGUCGCUCACUCCUCCCGCAACCCCUCAGCUCUGCGGGGGACCGAAAACACACCCCGUCUGGGGCAGCCAGGGCCGAAACUGUCAAGAGGAGAAAAGAGAUCGCUGGAGAUGGCGAGCUCCGAGACUCCCUCUAUCUUCUGUUUUCAGAGCAACUCUAUGCCCAGAGACUGAAACGAAGAUCAGCGAGAUGAUCCUGUGCCUACUUCUGAGAAUCUCUCGGGAACAGCACUCGUCCCCAUCUGCAGCCAGACUGAGAAGAGACAAAUGCGAUCAUCCACGUUGGGGAAUCGCAGGUUUUAGGUCUUGAACCGCCCGGGACAGCCAAUUUCUGGUGUGGCUGAAAGAGGUGGCUUGCAGCCCCUUCCCUGCUUUCUCUGAGAAGGAUCCAGAAACCACCUGGCAGGGCAGUUUCUCCUGAAGAAAACUUUGGUCUGUUUGGUUGAUGACUAUCUAAGCUGGUUGUAAUAUGGCGUACUGCAUCUAGUUCUGUGUGGCUGCUAAUUGUCAAUUCCCACUGGUAAUCUCACUAUUAAACCUGCAGUCUCAUCCAUAAAAGAUAUACUGGAGAGGCAUUAAUAAUGUCUCGGUGAUAAAGCUCAGAUAAUUAACAGCUCUUAAUAAUUCACAUUAUUGUAGACAUCAUUCUGCACCUCCCUUCCAUUGAAACACACCCAUCACAUAGUAGGUGUUUAAUAAUAUCAAAGGAAAGUAGAGAAUUGUAUCAAUAUUACCUUGACCCCAAACUCCAAUAUGAAGGGACAAUACAAACUGAAUGAGUAGAAAACAUUCAGGUGGUAUUAGCCUGACUUCUCUGUCUCAAUGCUCAAUUGACCAAUUCUUUCUGACUGCCCAAAUACUGAUGAAAUCAGUACAUUUUUAACAUACACCCCCACCUUUCUUUCAGAAAGCUCACAAAGUUUGACAAUAAAAAAUAUUAUUAUAUACCAGAAGGUGGCAUAAAUAUGUGUAUUUAGGGGGUUGGGAUGGGAGAAAGAAGUAGGGAACAUUUUCCUUUUUCUACCUUCCUAGUUUGGAAAAAGGCUUUUUAAAAAUGGGGGGGCUUGUUAGAUAAUUCCUUAAGAUGAACCUCCAUGUGCCAAACUUCACACAUGAUUUGUGUUACUGUUACUGAU